GGAGGAGUGGCAGAGUUGGUCGAUUGCGGCGGUCUUGAAAACCGUUGACCUUCACGGGUCCGUGGGUUCGAAUCCUACCUCCUCCGCCA
rnacentral:tRNA from 1 species